rnacentral:rRNA from 1 species
UACGUAGGGGGCAAUCGUUGUCCGGAUUUAUUGGGCGUAAAGAGCGUGUAGGCGGCUUUACAGGUCCGUUGUGAAAACUCGAGGCUCAACCUCGAGACGCCGGUGGAAACCGUAAAGCUAGAGUCCGGAAGAGGAGAGUGGAAUUCCUGGUGUAGCGGUGAAAUGCGCAGAUAUCAGGAAGAACACCCGUGGCGAAGGCGGCUCUCUGGGACGGUACUGACGCUGAGACGCGAAAGCGUGGGGAGCGAACAGG